GAGUGAGGUGAUAAAAAAUGA
rnacentral:snRNA from 1 species